AUUUGAACACUGGCCUACUUUUGCAUGGUGUAUCUUAAUUUAGUUCCAUGUCUACAAAGCAGUACAUUAGGACCUUUAAUAGUUGAUGCAAAGUACUUCUAUCAGCAAUAUAUCACUGUAAAACAAAAUAAAAAACAUGACAACAGAAAAUUUGACAAGCUCCAAGAAAGUUACAGCAUUAGCAUAUUGGUUCUUGAUCUGGGAUGAAGAUCCACAUGCUGCCCACAUCCCAGAUGCAAAAAAAAAAAAAAAGUCAUCGGUGGGGGAGUAGACAUUUAACUGUCUUUGAAUGUAGCCUAGCUCAAUAAUUAUUUCAGUACUGUUUUUGAGCUGUUGUAGCUGAUAUAGUUUUUCUUGACUGAAAUGUUCAUAUAUUACCCUUUACAACUCUCAUACUUUAAUCAUUCAAACUUUGAGCAAUGCUAUGAUGACAAACACUAUGAUAGACAAGCCCUCACAACUUGCCGGCAGGGGACCGCCAGGCUUGUGAUCCUUCCUUUCCAAAAUGGGAAAGUGGUUAGGAUUAUGGCUCAUACCUUUUGCCAUCAUAUUAUUACUAAAAAAAAUUUCAUGCUUUCUUGAUAUGCAAAAAACACCCUGUAACUGUAGCUGUCCCUUACUUUUCCAAUGAAUUGAAUAAGUUAUCCAACACAUCUCACCAGAGUGAGUUGCUACAAAGCCUCUCCUAAAGAGAUUGAAUUGGGAUAAUAUCAUCCUACAUGGCAGGAUAGUGCUAUAUAUCAAACUUAUAUGUGAUCUUCUGUAUAAGCACUCGAUUAAGUGCCUGGUCUUGUAUUGACCACAAGUCAGUGACAAAAGCUAUGGGCAGACGUCCUUGUUGACCACCAUGCCAACCACAUAUACUGUGAUCUGACAAAUCAAUGUUUUGUGGGACCCAUCACAAAGUCGGCAGGCCCCAAUGUCUGAUGAUGUCUCAAUGGAGCACUGUUAGAUGAUUGCAGAAUGUUCAGUACAGGUUGCUAUAGGAUAUUCCUACCCAUAAAAUACAAGAAGACAUGUCAUAGAAGUGGUUGCUCAAACUUGUUGUCAUCUUAUAAAAGAGGGAUCAAAGUUUUGCCUCCCUUUUUUCUUAUUUUCUAAUCCAUCCGAGUUGUGUCAAAAUAUUAAUCAGUUCAUUCUCCCAUCCAUAGAGAUGUUAGGUGUUACCAAACAAAGAAAAAAACGAAAUAUUGAGUAAUUUGUGUUCAAGAAUUCUUUUUUUAAAAAAAAAUUCACUUGUUUGUGUUGUAGUGAACAUCCUUGGGGCUCAAAUUGAAAUUUAGUAGUUCAGGAUGCAGAUAAUAUUGUUUAUAACAUGUUCUCUAGCUAUGUAAAGCCAGAAAGCAUGAGCUAAAUAUACAUAUUUUAGCCUAUAUUUUAUUAUUUAGUCUUAGUUCCUAUAUUGGAUCAAAUGGACAAGGGGACUGGAUUUUGCUGAAUCCAUUUUGUUCCCCGUUUAGAAGGAUCUUAUAGGCUCUUGAACAAUGAACAUGAUAGACUAUGGCUGAAGAAACAAACCUGAUAGCAAUCCUUUUGGGAUCCCGGACAAGGAGUUGUGUUUUUGAGUCUAUGUAAGCCAAGAAAAACGUCAGAACAAUGUCGAUGGCAAAAAAUAUGUCGAUGAUGCUGUCUGUGAUGCAGAGAACUCCCUUUGGAGAAGAAUUCAUGAAUGCAACCUCAAAGGGAUAGACCCAUGCAGAGUAAGCGACGAGGAUCACCAUGAAGGCUUCCCAGCACCUGAAAGAAACAAAAUGUUGCAAAGAAUAUGUGUUACAGGUCCUCUGUAUUUUUGACAAAUUUUUUUACCUCACAAGAACACACUUAAAUGCUGCUGAGAUGAGAACUUGUUGACUAUUUAGAGCAUAAAGAAUGAAGUUGUUUGCACCUAUAUCUGGAAUCCAUUGGGGAGACGAUCCUCCCUCCGGAUUCCGCCUGCGUCUGAUUGUAACCUGGUGCACCCAAUGGAGGAAGUACGACCUUCGAGAGGUUACGAAGAUUGAAUGAUGCCUCAGGCUUUAAUCUUUCAUUUCCCCGCUUGCUAAAAUUAUUUGCUUCAUUUGCACUCUCGAAGCUUGGACCAUGCAUCGGCUUCAUCUUGCUCAAGGACCAAUUCAUCAUCUGGCUUGCAGAUGUUUCAGGAGCAGAUGAAAAUGAAAUAUAAAGUGUGGAGGAGCAUGCCUCAAAUAAUAGAGGUGGGGAGCUGCAGGUGGGCCUUGGAGGGACCCAUUAUUACAGGGAUAUCUAUGAAUCAUAUAUCUGCAUUUACUAAGCAUUGAUUCUUAUAGGAAAUGUAGCCUGAUGUGGUGGUUUAGGUGGGUAGGUUUGUAUGGCAAAAUGUCUGGCCUUAUCAUUUCUUUGGUAUUACUAUUUUCAACAGGAUGUGCGAACCAUGUCGGCUUUCUUUCUGCCAGGUCCACGUAAAAAGCUUGUUAAACACAAGAACUCUUUGAAGUGUAUAAAAAGAUUCCUGUUUUAUCUUGGU